UUUCCAGACUCCUACGGGAGGCAGCAGUGGGGAAUAUUGGGCAAUGGGCGCAAGCCUGACCCAGCAAUGCCGCGUGAAGGAAGAAGGCCUUCGGGCUGUAAACUUCUUUUAUCAGGGACGAAGGAUGUGACGGUACCUGAUGAAUAAGCUCCGGCUAACUACGUGCCAGCAGCCGCGGUAAUACGUAGGGAGCAAGCGUUAUCCGGAUUUAUUGGGUUUAAAGGGUGCGUAGGCGGGCUUUUAAGUCAGCGGUAAAAAUUCGGGGCUCAACCCCGUCCGGCCGUUGAAACUGGGGGCCUUGAGUGGGCGAGAAGAAGGCGGAAUGCGUGGUGUAGCGGUGAAAUGCAUAGAUAUCACGCAGAACCCCGAUUGCGAAGGCAGCCUUCCGGCGCCCUACUGACGCUGAGGCACGAAAGUGCGGGGAUCGAACAGGAUUAGAUACCCUUGUA
rnacentral:rRNA from 1 species